rnacentral:rRNA from 1 species
GUGUCAGCCGCCGCGGUAAUACGGAGGGUGCAAGCGUUAUCCGGAUUUAUUGGGUUUAAAGGGUCCGUAGGCGGAUGUGUAAGUCAGUGGUGAAAUCUCACAGCUUAACUGUGAAACUGCCAUUGAUACUGCAUGUCUUGAGUAAGGUAGAAGUGGCUGGAAUAAGUAGUGUAGCGGUGAAAUGCAUAGAUAUUACUUAGAACACCAAUUGCGAAGGCAGGUCACUAUGUCUUAACUGACGCUGAUGGACGAAAGCGUGGGGAGCGAACAGGAUUAGAUACCCUGGUAGUCCACGCUGUAAACGAUGCUUACUCGUUUUUGGGGAUUUAUCUUCAGAGACUAAGCGAAAGUGAUAAGUAAGCCACCUGGGGAGUACGAACGCAAGUUUGAAACUUAAAGGAAUUGACGGGG